GCAUUGCGUACCACAUAUCAAUAUUUUCUUCGAAAUUUCAAAUUAGAUAAGAUAACUGAAAAACUAAGUGACGAUAGGUGAGCUGUGUAUUUGAACGCAAUAAAAGUGGAAGGAAGGCAACAGUGUUACGCAGCAGAUUGAACCAUUCGGACUCAAAGCGGUUUGUUCAGUUAAAAAUUGUUGGCAAAGUGAUACCACAUCUUUGGACGAUCCCAUCAUUUUAAGUUUCCAUGUGGUGCAGACAGUGCGAUCAAUUUAACCAAAAGUUGGUAACCUACGAACAAGUAUUGCAUAGCGGAUAAACCAUUCGCAAAGUGAAGUGAAAUAAACUGUGCAUAAGCGAGAAAAAUCUUUGACUCCACUAGUCCGUUGAAGGAUUUCAAAUACUGCAGUUACUACUUGUGAGCAGUUUCAGUUGAAUACAAAAUUGAGAGAGAUAUUUCAAUGAGUUACCAUAACAUGGAAGCUCAACAGGCAUCAACAUCUUCUGACAGGUACGAAUGUGGAAGUAAUCCCGGAAACCAUGGCAUCAGUUACGAGAAGGAUCUCGCAUUCGUAACCUUUGUAGCGGCUUCCUUGGAAGAAAGUAAGUUCAAGCUGGCCGUAGAGAUGACGGCAGCAGAGAAAUUCGAUGACGUGGUAGUUUUCAAAGAAGAAUCCAAAGAGGUGUUGUUAUUCCAGGCCAAACAUUCCAAUAAUGGAGGUCACGUAUUGUACGACGACCUACUCUCUGAUGAUCCGAGAAAAAGCAAAGACUUUGCUUUUCCUCGGUAUAUUCAGUCGUAUCUGAGGAUUAGAGAAAACAAAGUUUUUGAAGGUUAUAAACCAACAAUCAUUAUAUUCACUAAUAAAUCACUGAAACGAACCGAUGAGCUUAACCAGUUGAUGAAUAUCCAAGUACAAAACGUGAACAGCAUGUUUAAAUGGUGCGUUUCUAAGAAAAAUUUUUGUUUUGAGCCACUUAACGAUGAAGCAGUCAGAAAAAUUAAAGAUAUAAUAAAUUCAGAGCUGUACAAAAUCAAAACAGACAUAGAAGAACUUGUAAAAACUGGAAAAAUUUCCGAUUUGCUGAUGCAAUACAAGACACCCUUGCAAAAUAUUCUUCAAAUUGCUGAUGGAAUAAUACGUUUCAAAGAGCCUGCAGAUGAUAGCAAAGAUAUGAGAACUUAUCGAUGGAUGCUUGCCAAGUUAGCCAAGUUGAAGCCGAUUAGAUUAGAUGAAAAAACUGUUAAAAGCUUGAAUAGUUUUUUUUUUACCGGAAAAUCGAGGAACAAUCUUCUUCCUGUGAUUGUAGAAGAAGAACAAAUGCGGGACUUUUUUCAAAGUUUAAUUUUCUGUACAGAACAACCAACUGACCUAAGAAGUGUUGCCGAGAAAAUGAUAAGCUCCUGGAUGCCACGGUGGGUUGACAGUGAUCUUGCACGGGAAUUAAAAUAUUUUGACACAGUCUUCAACAAAUGGCACGCACAAACACUGAAACAAAAAGACUAUCUUACAUUUCACAAACAGGGUUUGGAUUGCAUUCAAAAUAUGAAGUCAGAAUUAGAGAAAAAAUUUGAAAGGAAACAUUCUUCGAUUGCAGCCAAUUUGUCAAUAUAUGUCUCGCGCACCAUAAUUAAAACAAUAAAUAAAAAAGACGACGACAAAAUAGCACCACAAACUAAUCGCUUUACAUUGAAUCACGAAUCAUUUGAAAGGAUGAGCAAAGUACACACUAUCCAAAUGAGCGAUCAGGAUUUUAUAGAACAGAUGUAUCAGCAGAAUGCGAUAUCAGCAGGAACGAAAUGUCAAAUACUGAUUGGAGAACCCGGUAUGGGAAAAACCACAUUAAUUUAUAAGUUGUUUUGGCAAUCACGAAACCUAAAAAAUGUAGCCGUUUAUCUAAUCCGUUUAAAAAAUCUUAAUUUUCGCGAAGAAAAAAAAAGUGAUCCCCUGCACAUCUUCGAACAUGAAUUGCCCCAAGAGAGUGGGAAUAUUUUGCGACAUUAUUUGGAAAGUUCGGAAAUUCAAAUUGUAUUCCUUUUAGAUGGGUUUGAUGAAAUGAAUCCAGCUCACCAACAUUCAGUACUGACAAUAUUUGAACAAAUUCUGGAGAAAAACAACACUCAAUGCAUAAUUACGGGAAGGAAACAUGUUUGCAAACUGCUCGAGGACAGAUUUAAAGCGCAUGCGUUGAAGCUGAAACCGUUCGAUUACAACGAACAAGUAAAAUUUUUAAAAUUGUUUUGGAGGGUGGAAGGCAGUGAAGCUCUUUUCAUGAAAUUUGCCGAGCAGUUGCUCAAAAAGUUCCAUAACGAAAUCAAAGGGAACGAUUACGACUUCGCAGGGCUUCCCCUGAUGAUACGAAUGUUGGCCGAGGUUUAUGCUGAAGAUUUUCAAAAGUUUCUCAAAACAGAAACAACUGAUGCAACUUGUACAUUUGAGUCGGAAAAACUUAAUGUACUUAAUUUGUUUGAAAAGUUUGUGAAAAUAUCUUUCAACUUAAAAAUGAAGAGUAAGGAUAGAAAAGCUGUAUACGCUUAUGAUGAAAUUGAGGAUGAAAUUGAUGAGGAAAUAGAACCUAGUUUUGACUUCUUUAUGGAACAACUUAAAUUGUUAGCCAUCCAAUAUUUGGAAAUCGAAGAGUUGCAAGAUGUUAUAAAGAAACCUCCGUUUAAUAAAAACAUCAAUCGACUUCUGGAACGUUUU